rnacentral:ncRNA from 1 species
UGCCUGCAUGUUCGUCGGCGUCGCCGACACAUGCCCAGGCAGCCAAGACCUUCGAGGCUGCAAGUGCGGGAAACCGCGCUGGUCGUUCUUCCUUCCCAGGGCGCACCACGCCCAUCCACGCCACCCACAAGGGACCUCUCCCU